GUCUGAACUCAAAUCAGGUAAGAUUACCCGCUGAAUUUAAGCAUAUUAAUAAGCGGAGGAAAAGAAACUAACAAGGAUUCCCUUAGUAACGGCGAGUGAAGCGGGAACAGCUCAAGCUUGAAAUCGGCAGUUGGUAAACAUAUGCCGAGUUGUAGCUUUUGGAAGCAGUUUCAAGCAACUGGUUGCGGUAAAAGUUCUUUUGAAUAAGACAUCAAAGAGGGUGAGAAUCCCGUCCUUGACCGUGAUUUAAGUGGCGAUGCGAACUGUUUUCUGCGAGUCGGGUUGUUUGGGAAUGCAGCCCUAAUUGGGAGGUAAAUUUCUUCCAAAGCUAAAUAUCAGUAAGAGACCGAUAGCAAACAAGUACCGUGAGGGAAAGAUGAAAAGCACUUUGAAAAGAGAGUGAAAAGUACGUGAAAUUGUUGAAAGGGAACCGGUUGGUAGCCAAGCAUUUCUUGGCGUUAGGGCAUUUAUGUCAGAGCGUCGGGAGGGUCAACAUCGAUUGCUGUUAAUCUGCCAGAAAGGAAAUUAUGCAGGCUAGCGGAGGAAGGUAGGGAGGUGGGUUUCCGGUUCAAUUUAUUGGGACGGUAUUAUGGCCUGCCUUCUGUUAUAGCCUCCAUGGGUUUGCUUUUUACGCCUAGUGGUGGUGGCGAUCGAGGACUGCAGCGCGUUUUGGAGGGAGACCUCUGAUGGCCUGAUUGUCUGGGAUCAUUGUAGUUGCGUUGCGGCAGACAGCAUGCUGACUGUUGCGGGUAGGCUAUAUGUUUCUGGGGAAUUCGGGACUAAGAAGCGCUUUGGAUGUUGGCGAAAAGGCACUAAUCGACCCGUCUUGAAACACGGACCAAGGAGUCCAACAUGCAUGCGAGUAUCUGGGAAAAAUAAACCCAUAUGCGCAAUGAAAGUGAACUAGUAGAAACUUUUAUUAGAAUGUAACCGGGAGCAAUCCCGGGCAGCAUCGACCGACUUUCGAUAGCGCCGCUUGAAGAGGUUGAGUAAGAGCAUGUAUGCUGGGACCCGAAAGAUGGUGAACUAUGCCUGAAUAGGGUGAAGUCAGAGGAAACUCUGAUGGAAGCUCGUAGAGAUUCUGACGUGCAAAUCGAUCUCCAAAUUUGGGUAUAGGGGCGAAAGACUAAUCGAACCAUCUACUAGCUGGUUCCUGC
rnacentral:rRNA from 1 species